rnacentral:misc_RNA from 1 species
AAACUGCGAUAAGUAGUGUGAAUUGCAUUUAGUGAAUCAUCGAAUCUUUGAACGCACCCUGCACUCACUGGUAUUCCGGUGAGUACGCCUGUUUCAGUAUCAUUGAAAACACAUAAUCAAAACAUUUUCUUUGGUUUGAUUGGCUUUGGGUCUAUCAAAAAGUUUGGCUUGUUUCUUACAAGCCAAGCGGCCUGAAAUAUAUUGUCUGGCUAAUUGCAUCGUUGAUGAUCGCUAUUAGACUUUGGCUUUUUUAAAUGAACUGGAGGUUGAUUAACCAGUUUUAGCUUUAGUCAAAUGGUCAUUGUAAAAAAAAUCUCGAUCUUGGCUAGGUGUUUAUAGCCGAAAAUUUUUUUUUGGCUAUAACCGAAACCAAUAUAAUCACAUUUAGUUAUCGAUCUGAAAUUAGGUGGGACUACCCGCUGAACUUAAGC